ACUGAAACACUUGUCCCUGCAUGAACUCUGAAGUUAAGCAAUGUUGAGCCUGGUUAGUACCUAGAUGGAUGACCACUUAGGAAUAUCAGGUGUUGUAAG